rnacentral:rRNA from 1 species
CUCGUAGGCGGUUCGGUAAGUCGGGUGUGAAAACUCUGGGCUCAACCCAGAGACGCCACCCGAUACUGCUGUGACUUGAGUACGGUAGGGGAGUGGGGAAUUCCUGGUGUAGCGGUGAAAUGCGCAGAUAUCAGGAGGAACACCAGUGGCGAAGGCGCCACUCUGGGCCGUAACUGACGCUGAGGAGCGAAAGCAUGGGUAGCAAACAGGAUUAGAUACCCUGGUAGUCC